GAUAAAAUGAAGAAGAAUUGUCAUCUUCUUCCAAGAGCUCUCCCGUCCAUACAUCUUCCAUAAGAGGAAGUGUUUUUCUUUUCUCUUUAAGCCAAGAUUCAAGACAAUUCAAGUUGUUGAAUUCCUGAAUCAACUUUGAGAAAGUUUUUCUCAUCGCUUCCAUAACUUAGAAACCAAGAAAGAACUCUUCCUUCUUCCUUUCUUGUUUUUGGCUGAAUCACUUGGAAAGGAAAUUAGAGAACGUUGCUUGGAUUGAGAUGCUAUAAUUAUGGAGCUUGUGUGGAUAAGUUAGAGGGUCAACACUUAGUGGCCUAGCUCCCAGGAUUAGGCAAUUGAAAUUGAUUUUGCACCUAAGAGUUACUCGGCCGGUUCGGACGAGUCAACUCUAUUUUGUUGAAUAAAGGGUUUGAAGCUUGAACUGAAUCAGUCAAACCAAACCAAUCAUUAUUUUGAUUAUCAAUUAAACUGGUUCGACCAGUUUGGUCUGAUUCUAACAACACUGUAUUCAAUCUAUUGUGAUUGAUUGAAUUUUUGUUUUGGUUAGAUAUGAUUGGUUAAAUUUUUGGUGGGCUCUGAUUGGUUGAGAUGUUAAUGGGAUAUAUUAAUUGGUUGAAGAUUGGCAAUAUAUUAAUUAAUAUAUCAUUGUUCUGGUUUAAAAUUGGUGAUAUGGUUUGAACUGAACUAGUCAAACCGAGCCAAUCAUUGUUCUGAUUAUCGAUUACUGUAUGAAAUCAAUUGUAAUUGAUUGAAUUUUUUGUAUGGUUAAAUAUGAUUGGUUGAAUUUUUUGUGGGC